rnacentral:lncRNA from 1 species
ACCUAUUCAAUGCUCCCCUCGGCGACUCCGAUGCUGCUGUCGGCGUAGGCACCGUUGGGUCCUCCGAGGCCAUCAUGCUCGCUGGCCUUGCCUUCAAACGCCAGUGGCAGAACAAACGUAGAGCCCAAGGUUUGCCCGUUGACAAGCCUAACAUCGUCACCGGCGCUAAUGUUCAGGUAUAUAUAUACAUAUACAUGCUCUCAUCAUUUACCAAUUGACCUUCAUAUUCGUUCUAAUUGAAUUAUUGACUUGAAAGUUGAAACUCCUAGACAUUACUUGUUCUAAGCUACUAAAAUGACACCGGUCAAUCAAUUGAGGCACCCAAAUGCUAGUGGAAAAUCUCAUACCUACAGUGAUGCUGACGGAUCAACUUGAAACUCCUAAAUAUGACUUGUUGUUCUAAGCUACUAAAAUGACACCUAUCAAUCAAUUAAGGCACCAAAAUGCUAGUAGAAAAUUUUGAUACUUACAGUGAUGGAUGCUGAAUUAAACUGUGAAAUUGCUGCAGGUAUGCUGGGAGAAAUUUGCGAGGUACUUCGAGGUGGAGCUGAAGGAAGUGAAGUUAACGGAAGGAUACUACGUGAUGGACCCGGAAAAGGCAGUAGAAAUGGUUGACG